UUUUGUUUUUUAUAAAUAAUUCUAUUAUUGAAUUUAAAUGUAAAACGUCUAAUAAAACGACCUACUUUUUAAUAAUACGUACACCAUAUUAUAUUACACUUUAAAUUAGAGUAGUCAUAUUAUGUAGUUCAGGUUUCUUAUUUAUUUUACCAUCGUAACACUAUCGGAGAAGACUGGAUCAGACUAUAAUAGUAUUAUAAUAUAAUAAUUAUAUAAGGUUGUGCGAUCGUACAAUAACAUCAAAGAAAAUUUGUUUUAUCAACUGCAGGCUGUGAGGAGGAACGCGAACAGACGGUUACAAUAUUUUACUUACAGACUUCAAUGUUGUAGUCGUACGUGCAGACAAUGUACUAAACCGGUAAUCAAUCUUUCGUAGUAAAUAGAUAUCGACCAUUAAAAACGUUGAGUCUUCUGCGAAAAUAAAUUGUUUCACCACUCGAUCAAACCGCAGAGCCGUUCAAAUGACGGGUGAAAGAGGGCGAGGGUCAGCUUCUCUGCAGCUUUUUUCUGAUUUUCUUAAAGUGAGCUCAAUUACAUCGCAGUCUUGUAUUCGUAUAAUAUUGUUUUAUACUUAAUAUAUACUCCGACAAAAAAAAUUUAAUCAAUGCCCGUUGUCAUACAGUCACCAUCGUUCUGGUAACGAAUUAAGUAUACAAGUAAAACGAUAAUAAUAUUUUGGAGUAAUUCGUCACUAUUGCAGUUAGAAAAAAAAUCACCAGUUUAAUAGUUAAUUGAAAUAGUAUGCUGAAACAGUAAAACUGUGUAAGCAUAUAGCAGUGUCAAAAAAGUAACGACAUUUUUUUUAAUACGUAAAAAUUGCAAUUAUAUAAUUUACAUUUUAAAAUACGACUAAUUUAUGAUCAAAAUGAAAAAUGUGCUUGGACGUAGUGUUUUGAAUACCUUCUUAUUCAAAAUUUUACACAGAUUUAGAACAUAGAACUGUCUAGACCAGCGGUCUUCAAUAGGAUUCGAGGAAAAGUUAAAUAAUAAUUUUGUAAAUUACUUAUGGACCGCCAACGUUCUUAAUGUGACAGAUAUAUGAUUAGUUUAUGAUUCGGAGCUAUUGGAAAAAAGCUGCAACAGCUCUACAGCAGAAAUCAAUUUACGAAUUUACGAUUUUCAAAGAAAAAUGUGUGCUGUUCAACAGCAUAUAACCACCAGUUACUACAAAUUUUCAGCGAAAAACAGCUCAGCCUUAUUUAAUUUAGAAGACGAAGGAUAUAUUUGUUGUACUUGCACGCAACUUACAUCAACAAUAAGUGCUCCACAUUUCCUGUAACAUAUUAUAAAUUACACCGAAUUAUCGUAAGUAUGCAAAAAUCAAUCGGUCUCAAAGAUUUUGUGUAAGUGUACGCCUUAAUGUUUCUAUUGGACUUAAAAAAUAAAUUGAGGUUUUAUUUUUACCAUAAUGAUUUUAUUUCCACUUUGUUAGUGAUACUUAUUUUAUAUAUUUUUUACUUCUAAAGAAAAAUAUACUUUAUGUGUGACCAAUCAUUUUAA